UAGAUCACAAAGUUUGCUAAUUUAUAUUGGUACUUUGAGACUCCUUACAUGACGUUUCCCCAACACACCCGAGGUCAAAUGCAGCAAUGUGUAUAGUUCGUUAUUGAGGAUGAUGUGUAGAUUAUUUUAAAUAGGGAAGGAUAUUUAUACGAUAUAGUUAAUUGUAACUGUUUAAUUUCAACGUAUGUUUACAUUAAAUUACAUCCUUAAGCCAACUUUACUAAUAUUGAUCGCUAUUUUCAUGUUAUACAUCUAUAAUCAUCUUGUUAAAGAUUUGAAGCUUUGCUGCGAUAAUACAGCAGAGAAUUAUUCUCAUUAUGAUUCAUUACGAUUCUCAUUAUGACGACAUUCAUCACUAAAUAAAAGAGAACGUUUACAACGUAAUCAUGGACAAAUAAGACUACAUCAACAAAGCGAAGACCCUCUUACAAGACACCAACACGUAUGAACCUCUCCAAACAGACCCCAACAAAACCACUACAAACCGCAUCAACAAGAAA